CUAACCUGUGCACUAUAUAUAAUCGUUUCGAUUCCGGGCGUGCAAUGGAUCGCGCUCUUGCUUUCCUCUUCGUGGCCCACUCAGAUAACGCCGUGCAAGGUGACCACGAGAACAAAACCAAAAAAAUAAUGACAGACACACGGAUCGGAAGUCGAAGAGAUUUUGAGGGGAUGGCGAUAAUGUGUGUUGUUUACCAGUGCACUGAUUUCCAAUUCAAUUCCUUCUGGUUUAUGCUUCACUUUCGGGAUACCCACGAUCAAAAAUUGUUGAAAAAAAUAAACACUCGCAGGAACCGUUGGCUUUCGCCUUUCGCCGAGUUGUGGGUAGUUUCUUUUUAUUACUUUAUUUUUUUUUGCGAAACGAAAUAGUUUGAAGAGAAUCGCGAAACACUGGAAGACUGAGCGAACGCGUCGCAGGACCGUUACCGUUAAGCGGUGCACGCUGAAUUGAGGCGCUGCCACUGCGAGGUUGACACUUUUUGUUAACGGUGACGAUCGGCGGCGGUGACGUCGCUCCGUCGCUUCUCGAUUCCCGUAACCGUUCUGAUUUAAAUGGAACGCUGCUCCAAGCUCACGUCGGUUUCCAGUCUCUGUCGGCGUAGGCGUAGCCGUCGACGUCGCUGCCCGCUAACCGCUAUUUCUGUUUCGGUUUCUUCUUCGCUUUUCCGUUUCGUUUUCGACAAUUUCCAGCCGAGCUUUAAAGUCUCCUUCUCUCCUGCCGUUUCCCGUUUUCCCGCCAGGAGUGAGAGAAACCGUUAGUGCAGAUAGAAAGAACAGAAGCAGCUUCACCGUUACGUUACUUCACUUCGACGAAGUUUAACAAAUUAAGAAGUUUAAAACGAGCUCUCCGAGUGCGGAACUUAAAUAAUAAAAACAAAAUCAGAGCGGGAAAGCUCAAAGCCGCACGGCAAACGAACGCGGCAUUAAUACAAUUCAACCAGCUCCUUUAACUGCCGAUCGUGCUCACUCACUUUGAGCUCUUCGCUCCCAAAACAAGAAGAAGACAGUGCGGAAUCACUCAAAGAGAGCGUGCAGAAAGGAUAUUAUUAUUGUGGCCUACUGUGCAUGUGGAAUACCGGGAAUACCUGCAAAUGGACUAGGGAGUCGUCGAAUCGAAGGGAACUCAAGAUGUGAGAGCCAUUCUCAACAGAUCGAUUCGGAUUUGGCGAGUGCGAAAGAGCGGAGGAAGCUCAAGAGAGCGUGGAGAUGGAGAUAGCCGGUGCCCGGGGCUUCGGAUCGCCGGGGACAAUGAUAGUGUUGAUAACAAGUGCUUUGCUCUGGAUAUGAGAAUGGGAAUCUUCUCCGACACCGAAAGCCGUACACUGCAGGAAAUUCUAUUUGGAAGUUUUCCAAUCCUGUCUAAUAUUAAUACCUAUCUAUACAGGCUAAUAAUGAUUUGAAUAUCCUUCAAGCUCAAUUUACGUUUUUAGGCCCACUGUGCGCCUGCGCAGCUUCACGCUCGUAAAAAGCACAACUCACGAUCACCGGAGAUCUACGGUUUUCAGAGUUAAAUGUGGAGCAAUGCUGACCAUGACUCCUAGG